rnacentral:rRNA from 1 species
AAAGACAGCCCCAGUGGGCUGGAUUCGCCCUAAGUUGAAAAUGGGGCAAAACGUACGCUGGCGGCACGCCUAACACAUGCAAGUCGAACGAAGUAGCAAUACUUAGUGGCACACGGGGGAGUAACAUGUAGGUAUCUGCCCUUUGGCCUGGAAUAACACGAGGAAACUUGUGCUAAUACCGGAUAAGUCUUUACCGAGAAAGCUUUAUGCACCAUUGGAUGAGCCUGCACUUGAUUAUUUUGUUGGUGGGGUAAUGGCCUACCAAGACUGUGAUCAAUAGCUGAUUUGAGAGGAGGAUCAGCCACCUUGGGACUGAGACACGGACCAAACUCCUACGGGAGGCCCUUGUAGGGAAUCUUGCACAAUGGAGGAAACUCUGAUGCAGCGAUGCCGCGUGAGUGAAGAAGGCCCUUGGGUUGUAAAGCUCUUUCGUCGGGGAAAAAAAUGACUGUACCCGAAUAAGAAGGUCCGGAUAACUUCGUGCCAGCAGCCGCGGUAAUACGAAGGGACCUAGCGUAGUUCGGAAUUACUGGGCUUAAAGAGUUCGUAGGUGGUUGAAAAAGUUAGUGGUGAAAUCCCAGAGCUUAACUCUGGAACUGCCAUUAAAACUUUUCAGCUAGAGUAUGAUAGAGGAAAGCAGAAUUUCUAGUGUAGAGGUGAAAUUCGUAGAUAUUAGAAAGAAUACCAAUUGCGAAGGCAGCUUUCUGGAUCAUUACUGACACUGAGGAACGAAAGCAUGGGUAGCGAAGAGGAUUAGAUACCCUCGUAGUCCAUGCCGUAAACGAUGUGUGUUAGACGUUGGAAAUUUAUUUUCAGUGUCGCAGGGAAACCGAUAAACACACCGCCUGGGGAGUACGACCGCAAGGUUUAAAACUCAAAUGAAUUGACGGGGACCCGCACAAGUAGUGGAGCAUGUGGUUUAAUUCGAAGAUACGCGCAGAACCUUACCAACACUUGACAUGUUCGUCGCGACUUUAAGAGAUUAGAGUUUUCGGUUCGGCCGGACGAAACACAGGUGCUGCAUGGCUGUCGUCAGCUCGUGUCGUGAGAUGUUGGGUUAAGUCCCGCAACGAACACAACCCUCACUUUUAGUUGCCAUCAUUUAGUUGGGCACUCUGAAAGAACUGCCAGUGAUAAGCUGGAGGAAGGUGGGGAUGACGUCAAGUCCUCAUGGCCCUUACGUGUUGGGCUACACACGUGCUACAAUGGUAUCUACAACAGGAAGCAAGACUGCGAAGUUAAGCAAAUCCCUAAAAGAUACCUCAGUUCGGAUUGCACUCUGCAACUCGAGUGCAUGAAGCUGGAAUUACUAGUAAUCGUGGAUCAGCGUGCCACGGUGAAUGCGUUCCCGGGUCUUGUACACACCGCCCGUCACACCAUGGGAGUUGGUUCUACCUUAAGGCAAGGUUUCAAACCCUUGACCACGGUAUAGUCAGCGUCUGGGGUGAAGUCGUAACAAGGUAACC